rnacentral:Y_RNA from 1 species
AGCUGGUCUGAAGGUAGUGAGUUAUCUCAAUUGAUUGUUCACAGUCAGUUACAGAUCAAACUCCUUGUUCUACUCUUUACCUCCUUCUCACUACUGCACUUGAAUAGUCUUUA